rnacentral:rRNA from 2 species
UGUGACCUCAAAUCAGGUAGGACUACCCGCUGAACUUAAGCAUAUCAAUAAGCGGAGGAAAAGAAACUAACAAGGAUUCCCCUAGUAACUGCGAGUGAAGCGGGAAAAGCUCAAAUUUAAAAUCUGGCGGUCUUUUGGCUGUCCGAGUUGUAAUCUAGAGAAGUGUUAUCCGCGCUGGACC